CGGAGGGUGCAAGCGUUAUCCGGAUUCACUGGGUUUAAGGGGUGCGUAGGUGGGCAGGUAAGUCAGUGGUGAAAUCUCCGGGCUUAACCCGGAAACUGCCAUUGAUACUAUCUGUCUUGAAUACCCUGGAGGUGAGCGGAAUAUGUCAUGUAGCGGUGAAAUGCUUAGAUAUGACAUAGAACACCCAUUGCGAAGGCAGCUCACUACGGGAAUAUUGACACUGAGGCACGAAAGCGUGGGGAUCAAACAGGAUUAGAUACCCUGGUAGUCCACGCCCUAAACUAUGGAUACUCGACAUCGGCGAUAAACUGUUGGUGUCUGAGCGAAAGCAUUAAGUAUCCCACCUGGGAAGUACGAUCGCAAGAUUG
rnacentral:rRNA from 1 species